AGAACGAACGCUGGCGGCAUGCCUAACACAUGCAAGUCGAACGCUCUUGGUUUCGGCCAAGGGAGUGGCGCACGGGUGAGUAACGCGUGGGAACCUGCCCUGGAGUGGGGGAUAACCGAGGGAAACCUCGGCUAAAUACCGCAUACGACCUGAGGGUGAAAGAUUUAUCGCUCUAGGAGGGGCCCGCGUCGGAUUAGCUAGUUGGUGAGGUAACGGCCCACCAAGGCUAUGAUCCGUAGCUGGUCUGAGAGGAUGAUCAGCCACACUGGGACUGAGACACGGCCCAGACUCCUACGGGAGGCAGCAGUGGGGAAUAUUGGACAAUGGGCGCAAGCCUGAUCCAGCAAUGCCGCGUGUGUGAAGAAGGCCUUCGGGUUGUAAAGCUCUUUUGUCAGGGAAGAAACGGUUCGGGCUAAUACCCUGGGCUAAUGACGGUACCUGAAGAAUAAGCACCGGCUAACUACGUGCCAGCAGCCGCGGU
rnacentral:rRNA from 1 species